GUCUUCCCUGGGUCUUUUUGCGGUCUGGGCUUUCUGGGUCUGUCCAACCCCCGUAUCAGAAAGCCCUUACCCCAAAAAGCAUCCGGG
rnacentral:pre_miRNA from 11 species